rnacentral:rRNA from 1 species
CAGUCGAGCGAUGGAUUAAGAGCUUGCUCUUAUGAAGUUAGCGGCGGACGGGUGAGUAACACGUGGGUAACCUGCCCAUAAGACUGGGAUAACUCCGGGAAACCGGGGCUAAUACCGGAUAACAUUUUGAACCGCAUGGUUCGAAAUUGAAAGGCGGCUUCGGCUGUCACUUAUGGAUGGACCCGCGUCGCAUUAGCUAGUUGGUGAGGUAACGGCUCACCAAGGCAACGAUGCGUAGCCGACCUGAGAGGGUGAUCGGCCACACUGGGACUGAGACACGGCCCAGACUCCUACGGGAGGCAGCAGUAGGGAAUCUUCCGCAAUGGACGAAAGUCUGACGGAGCAACGCCGCGUGAGUGAUGAAGGCUUUCGGGUCGUAAAACUCUGUUGUUAGGGAAGAACAAGUGCUAGUUGAAUAAGCUGGCACCUUGACGGUACCUAACCAGAAAGCCACGGCUAACUACGUGCCAGCAGCCGCGGUAAUACGUAGGUGGCAAGCGUUAUCCGGAAUUAUUGGGCGUAAAGCGCGCGCAGGUGGUUUCUUAAGUCUGAUGUG